GGAGACAGGUGGUGCAUGGUUGUCGUCAGCUCGUGUCGUGAGAUGUUGGGUUAAGUCCCGCAACGAGCGCAACCCUUAUUGCUAGUUACCAUCAUUCAGUUGGGGACUCUAGCGAGACUGCCAGUGAUAAACCGGAGGAAGGUGGGAUGACGUCAAAUCAUCAUGCCCCUUAUGACCUGGGCUACACACGUGCUACAAUGGUUGGUACAACGAGUUGCGAGUCGGUGACGGCGAGCUAAUCUCUUAAAGCCAAUCUCAGUUCGGAUUGUAGGCUGCAGCUCGCCUACAUGAAGUCGGAAUCGCUAGUAAUCGUGGAUCAGCAUGCCACGGUGAAUACGUUCCCGGGCCUU
rnacentral:rRNA from 1 species